rnacentral:rRNA from 1 species
CGCUGGCGGCGUGCCUAAUACAUGCAAGUCGAGCGAACCUUGGGGCUGCCCCAAGGUAGCGGCGGACGGGUGAGUAACACGUGGGCAACCUGCCUAUAAGACUGGGAUAACUUCGGGAAACCGGAGCUAAUACCGGAUAACUCAUAUCUACUCAUGUAGAUAUGCUAAAAGACGGUUUACGCUGUCACUUAUAGAUGGGCCCGCGGCGCAUUAGCUAGUUGGUGAGGUAACGGCUCACCAAGGCGACGAUGCGUAGCCGACCUGAGAGGGUGAUCGGCCACACUGGGACUGAGACACGGCCCAGACUCCUACGGGAGGCAGCAGUAGGGAAUCUUCCGCAAUGGACGAAAGUCUGACGGAGCAACGCCGCGUGAGUGAUGAAGGUUUUCGGAUCGUAAAACUCUGUUGUUAGGGAAGAACAAGUACCAGAGUAACUGCUGGUACCUUGACGGUACCUAACCAGAAAGCCACGGCUAACUACGUGCCAGCAGCGGC